GAUGAACGCUGGCGGCGUGCCUAAUACAUGCAAGUCGAGCGAACGGACGAGAAGCUUGCUUCUCUGAUGUUAGCGGCGGACGGGUGAGUAACACGUGGAUAACCUACCUAUAAGACUGGGAUAACUUCGGGAAACCGGAGCUAAUACCGGAUAAUAUUUUGAACCGCAUGGUUCAAAAGUAAAAGACGGUCUUGCUGUCACUUAUAGAUGGGUCCGCGCUGCAUUAGCUAGUUGGUAAGGUAACGGCUUACCAAGGCAACGAUGCAUAGCCGACCUGAGAGGGUGAUCGGCCACACUGGAACUGAGCCACGGUCCAGACUCCUACGGGAGGCAGCAGUAGGGAAUCUUCCGCAAUGGGCGAAAGCCUGACGGAGCAACGCCGCGUGAGUGAUGAAGGUCUUCGGAUCGUAAAACUCUGUUAUUAGGGAAGAACAUAUGUGUAAGUAACUGUGCACAUCUUGACGGUACCUAAUCAGAAAGCCACGGCUAACUACGUG
rnacentral:rRNA from 1 species